AACGAACGCUGGCGGCAGGCUUAACACAUGCAAGUCGAACGCCCCGCAAGGGGAGUGGCAGACGGGUGAGUAACGCGUGGGGAUCUACCUAGUUCUACGGAACAACAGUUGGAAACGACUGCUAAUACCGUAUACGCCCUACGGGGGAAAGAUUUAUCGGAAUUAGAUGAGCCCGCGUAAGAUUAGCUAGUUGGUGGGGUAAUGGCCUACCAAGGCGACGAUCUUUAGCUGGUCUGAGAGGAUGAUCAGCCACACUGGGACUGAGACACGGCCCAGACUCCUACGGGAGGCAGCAGUGGGGAAUAUUGGACAAUGGGCGCAAGCCUGAUCCAGCCAUGCCGCGUGAGUGAUGAAGGCCUUAGGGUUGUAAAGCUCUUUCACCGAUGAAGAUAAUGACGGUAGUCGGAGAAGAAGCCCCGGCUAACUUCGUGCCAGCAGCCGCCGCGG
rnacentral:rRNA from 1 species